CUUCUCAAAGUUAAGGGGAGUUUGCCCAGCACAGCACAGAGAUAGCCUCAACAGGUGCCUGUGGUGCCAGGAAGAGGGGAGUACAGUAUUUAAAUAAAGAGGGAUCCACCACACAAGUCAAGUUAAAAACAAUACGCGUUUCCCUCCUCGCUACUGAUGCCUGAUGACGAUUGAUUUGAGUUUUCAUUAUAAAUAAU